GUUUAACAGCAGUCCUGAGCGAGUGAGUCACAUGCAAAUAAGUGAAAUGCCAACAUGACGAACGUGCCGGUCCAGAGCAGAAAAAGACACAGUGAUAAAACGAGAGGAGGGUGUGAAGGAAACUAUUUUCAGAUUGACUCCCAAAUGGUGCAGUGACUAAAUGUUUUCGAGCAAUGCUGCCUUGGACGGGACACAAGUGGGAUAAUAAGACACUUAUUCGGCCACCGCAGCAUGACUACAUUCCUGAGAUUUGUGACAUGUUCUGUCAUUUCUUCUCAAUGGAAAGACUUGGGAGGACGCUGCAGGCAAUUGGUUGUGGAACAAUGAGAGGCCACUGAAAGAAUGUUAAUAGUCUACAGUGUGAUGACGGACAUUUCUCCUCACAAAUUCGUCACCUUUUGUCUCUGCAGAACAUUGAAAUUGUACAUUGUAAUGACAAACUGUUGGGGACAAGUUCAAAAUAUAAUGAUGAACAUCUGCACAGUUUAAUCUCAAUGUUCUUACAGUCCGUUUCCUUACACUGUCUGGGUUAUAGGACAGCCAAACAGUGCCCAAACAAAGCAUCCACACGUUGAUGACUGAAUCUCUGUAAAGGGUGGAAAAUGGUUCUUUUAGAGUUGGGACAAUAUAGACAGAUUUUGUCUGGGGAAUCCUUUAAUAUAACCGACCCAUCCAUAUCCACAUUAUGUUGACUAGUAAUACGGACAAUUGCUGUCUUAUUAACGCCAUAUCACCUACUUUAGCCAUUAUUAUUGGUGUGGAAAAGCCGGGACACACCUAUGCUGUGUAUUAUUGGGAAAAUUGAAGUGAAAUAACCCCUGCAACACAAAAUAUAAAAAGUUCUUCUACUUCUACUUUGAGGAGGAUGGAUCUGCCAAAAGCAAUAUCAGGAAAGGACUGUUGCGUGUCAGUGUGAAAACGAUAGCUUUAUUUUUGGCAUUAGCCAAUCAGGAGCUUUUAGUGCUGUUAGGGCACUUACAACAAGCCUGUCAACCGUUUGGAAGUCAGUGGAGGUCACCCACAGCGUCAUCUUUCAAAAAAACAGCAUUAAAUUCAUCACACAGUAACUUAAUACACUAAAGGUGUAUACACAAAUAUGCAAACAUGUACCAAUAUAGGUUUGAAGUAAACUAAACCAAACAUUUAGUGUUUGGACAUAAGAUAAACAGAUAGAUAGACUUCCUUUAUUGUCAUUGCACAAUAACACAGCAGUGAAAUUUGCAUAGUAUACGUAUGCUCCUCAAAUGAAAUGCAUGAUGGCAACAUUUUAAAAUUUAGUUUUUUUCAUAUAAAACUCUUAUUGGUUCAUGAUUCUAUAUUUCUGACGUAGUGUUAGUUGCUGUGUGAUGAGUUUAAUGUUCUUUAUAAGAUGAAAUCGUGAGUUAAACUGUUAUAUUGAGUAAUGACCUCCUGCAAUUUCAAAGGGGUGACAAGAUCAUAGUGACUUUUUACAUAGCACGUGAUUGGCGCCUGUCAAAUGAAAAGCUGACUAUUUCUCACAGGCUCUUGUUUUGCCUCGUCUGCCUUCGUUGCCAUAGCCACCCACACCUGUCCCUAAUUUGUCCCAUCUAUUUAGUUCAGGUGUGUGCUUCUCCCUGUGUGGGAUCAUUGUUGUUUGUCUGUCUGCUACUUGAGUUGCUUUUACUUCUGCUGCGAUUAUAGCUAAAAUAAAUAUUGUUUACCUGCA